GGAUUCUGGGUGCCCCUCACAUCUACCCAUGCUUCUGUCAGCCCACCGUGUGAAGAUAGAUCUUCGAAAUGCUGCCUGGAAGAGGGUGACUCCAGGUUUGGAACACCAAUUCUGGCACCAAAACUUUUCUACCCAGGAAGGAACAGCGUCUUCCUGCACUUAACCCCAAAGGAAGUCCAACAGCUCGACUAUCAGGAGACCCAAGGGAGAGUCGUCGAGGUGAAAAACCCAGCGGCCUAGGCCUACGAGGAGAGGGUCCUGGUGACGCAGUUGGAGAAGGCAGAGGUGUCUCAUCGAUGAAGGUAUUCUGGAGGGCCUCCAAGGGCUCGGCUCUGGGCUGGGAGGAUCCGGAUAUCAUCAGAUGAUGACCACUUGUGCAGGAAGGAGCCUGGUGCCCGAGGAGUAGAAAAGAUGUUGGUCUCAUCAUGGGAUAAUCGGCGGGACAAAGGGACCUGGGAAGAGGAGCAGGGUACCCUGCAGUCCAACGCCAUGGAGAGUGAUGCAGGGGACCAGAAUGGAGGUGAGUCCUUCUGUCCCGUACCUGUAAAUAGUGUACUCUCUCAAGAGGUGGAAAGAGCAUGUGCCGCCCAGGCAGCAGUUUCACCUGGGUGGGGUCCCGACUCCCUGACCCUGUGGCCCCGUUAGCAUCAAAGCGGAUUUUGCACACUCGGCCAUCUGUGUAGUCGUCACAGGUACCAUCUAGGAGAGAGAAGCCGAAAGUAGUUACAGGCAGAGAACACCUACCUUCUCCCCAUCCCUUCAUAAAGUCCAGGAGGACCCUUUGAUUCCCAUUAGUCUGAAAGCCCCAGGAGGAUCUAUGGCUAGCUUUCCCUUCCUUUACUGAAUCCAGGGUCCUUUAUACAGGCAGACAUUUUUGCUUGUUCUCCAAGAAUUCUCCCAAGAGCAGGGGAUCUCUUUCAGGAAGCUUAGCUUCCCUUUAGUGCCACACCUUCUUUACAUUAGGACUGAGGACCCUUCCUCUGGAACUCUGCUUGGCGUGGACCAAGCUGGCCAGUGUAGGCUUCCAGAGAGGAGCGGAGGCCUAGAAUCUAGACAGGCUCCUCAAAGGAAGCAAGGCUUGGAUGGCAAGCACAUGAUCAGGCUCGAGGGAGCCUGGAAGUUGGCUCCAGCUUAGUCCAGCAGGGGGCACCCCAGGGCAGCACAUCUCCUCAAGAAGGGCAGUAGAAAGGACAGAAAACCGAGGUAGCUGUCCAGGAAAGAAAAGGCCCCAUCAUCCCUCCUCUGACCGUCAUCACCGUCAUCCUCGGACAUGAUAGCCACACACUGCUCCCACACGGUGCGCACAUCUGCACGGUAGCGCUCGCAGGACCAGAUGAAGGAGGGCAGGAGCAGCGUCUGUGCCAUGGAGCACCAGAGCACCGCCAGCACCAUCCAGGGUGGAGCUGAGUCCGACUUCAAGGAGAAGAAGCUUACCACCUGAUGGGGGAGAGGGAAUGGCUGCUCAGGCCUGAGAGCCCAGGCCCACCUAAGCCUGACAGCCACCCUUAAAGCAAGGGGCUAGGAAGCGGGGUGGAUGAGCAUCAGGAAGGGGCUGAAUGAGAAAAGGAGAGAGGGCUAUAAACAAAACCCUGACACUGGGGGCUUGAGCAGGGUGGGAGG